GCCUGGGAAGGAAAGGUUUCACUUUCGAAGGAUGAGCUGGCUAAACAGAAAGGCCCUGUCCAGUCAUUUGCAAUCAGACUUCGCCUGGUGGUUGCUACAGUGACUGACUUGAGGGGUAUCAGGGGUGUGGGGACCUCUGGGGAGAAGGCUGAGAGCCUGGAGACCCAACAGUAGUCGGUGAGGAACCACCAUGACUUGGUUUCAGAGUCCGCUGGUUUGGAGCAGAAAGGAAAAUUACCGAACCAGGUGGGAGCUACAAAUACCCGUGGGGGUCCCGGUUGCUGCUGGUGUCCUGGCCCUUCUGGCCCUCCUGGCGUUGGCUUACCAUUGCCUCAAAGAGGCCUUGAAGUCCAGAUGGAGCCCCUGCCAUGAGGGCUGGAGGUGUCCUCAAACUGGAGAGAGCCUACAGCUUGUCUUCAUCCACAGCCCGGGUCAGGGCCAGCUGGGGACCCUCUCUUCAGAGCCCCAUGGCCCUGUACUGCCUUCCCCACUGUCCCUCUGAAGGCCCUACUGGUACCAGGACAGCCCCUCAGCUUUGGGUCUGAAGAGACCCCCAUGUUUCAGAGGAGGUUGCGGUAUUGGUCAAGCACCCUGUGCCUGUUAAUGUGGAUGAAGGAUUGAAUCCAUGGGAGGAGGGUAAUGUGGGGUGAGGGCUGGGUCCCCGUCCCAUGGGUGUCAGGCAUGAGGGAGGGGAGACACUAGCAGAACUGUCUCUGGGUUACGGCAUCAAGGCUUUCUCUCCCCAGAGUCACCUCAAGGAGGUUACUCCAUCUUAGCAGUAGCCUAUUCCCCUGGGGGUGGGGUGGGGGUGAUACCAUGACCCAAAGGGGAGCCAUGGACUAGAAGCAAAAGCACAAGGCCCUCCAGAGUGGCCAGUGAAUGUCUCAGCAGGCAGAGGGAAGCUAUGUCUGACCUCCACUCCCCACAUCUCUGUCAUUGCCCAGGCAGUACUUUGGGGUCUCAUGUCCUGGCUGGCUCCUUCCUGGAAUCAUGGCAAGGGCCACUGCAACCUCACCCUUUGUAGCCCCUGAGCUCUCUUGGCUCAGCCCAGGCACCAGAGAAGGCAGGGCCUACUGAAGCACACCAGGAGCCCCUGCUGGUGAGCAGUAAGCCUGUGGAACCUUCUGGGUCAGGGCACUGCUGCAGGCCCCAGUCCACUGUGACCUGGACUCCUGAGAUCACCCAGGACCACCUCAUUUUUUUUUUUUUUUUCUGGGCUUCCCUGGGUCAUGGAGGAUGAAUUAGAAUGGCAGGUUAGUUGGGCUAUGGCGAGUAGAAUCCGAAAGUGAUUCCUGCCCCUGGAGAUGCACAGGCUCGCCAGCCAGUUCUCUAGAGUGUAGAUGUAACCCUGCAUGUACCAACACUCUUCUCUGGCUAGGCCGAACUAUGUGGAGAUGGUGGAGGAAUUGAUGCAGAUUAAUUAUAGUCUCUAAUUAAUUAAACCGUCUCUGAGUUAAGUCAGAGAUGGGGACAGGAACACUGGCGCAAUCCUGUGGUCUAAGCUAAAGGUGGCAGGUUGAGGCAGCAGAAUGACUUGAGUCUAGGCCUCAAGGUCAGCCUGGAUAACAAAAUGCAGCCUUAACUCUCGGUGGGGUCUGCUACGUAGCUCAGACUGGUGUGGUAAUUGUUAGGUAGCCCCAUCUGGCCCCAUCUGAGACCCUCAUACCUUGAUUCCCUGAGUAUUGGGACUAUAGGCACAUAGAAUUUGAGACCUUGAUUCUCAAAAAAUAAACAAAAACAAAAACAAAAAAAGGUGCUGGUGCAAGAAUUUGAGACCUUGAUUCUCAAAAAAUAAACAAAAACAAAAACAAAAAAAGGUGCUGGUGCUGAAGCUGGAGGGCCUGAUUUGGCCAGUGAACUGUCUGGAGUCUGGAGUCUGCCCACAGCUGCACAGGAGAGGAUGAGCUUCCAGCCUUAGUUAGGGGCUGCCACCUCGAUUGAAGCUGUGUGUGAUUCCAGGCAAAGGACAGUGUUCAGACCUCCCAGACCUGGUUCACCAAAAGCAUGAGCUAAUAAAAGGGAAUGUUUGGCAGCUGAUCUUGGUAAAUUGUUCAAAGCAGUAGUGUGUGUUGGACAGGACAGACUGGUGGGCUUGGGGGGCAGUGUGGGAGUGAGACCAGCAUGGACAGGGCACAAGUGUCUAGGGCUACAGGAGAGCGUACCAAGCCUCUAAUACCCUCCUGUUUGGCAGGGGCCUCUGCCAUGGUCAGGUAGGUCACACUGAGUCUAUUAGAAUCCUCCAGGAUAAGAACAGAAGAUUGGUCUCCCCAGAGUACUGGGUAUCUUUUGGUCUUCCCAAGCAAGAGGCUAUAGACUGAGGCAAGUAGAAGAAGGCCUAAAUUAGCCUGUGGUAUCUCAAGUGGGCCCUGGAGACAUCCUUAAGUACAUCUCUGGUGUCUGGCCCUUAAAUCAGGUAAUCACACCUGACACACACAGCUAGGAAGAGCACCCCAUGGCAGCAACUGUGGAGUCUGCACUGGCAGGCUGAGGAGGGCCUGGAGGAGAAGUG